GGUAGUGUAGUUAAUAGCUGCAUAUUUGACGUUAGCGACAGAAGAAGCACCGGCUAACUCCGUGCCAGCAGCCGCGGUAAUACGGAGGGUGCGAGCGUUAAUCGGAAUUACUGGGCGUAAAGCGCAUGCAGGUGGUUUGUUAAGUCAGAUGUGAAAGACCCGGGGCGUCAACCUCGGAAUAGCAUUUGAAACUGGCAGACUAGAGUACUGUAGAGGGGGGUAGGAAUUUCAGGUGUAGCGGUGAAAUGCGUAGAGAUCUGAAGGAAUACCGGUGGCGAAGGCGGCCCCCUGGACAGAUACUGACACUCAGAUGCGAAAGCGUGGGGAGCAAACAGGAUUAGAUACCCUGGUAG
rnacentral:rRNA from 1 species